GGUGAACGCUGGCGGCGUGCUUAAGACAUGCAAGUCGAACGGCAGUCUUCGGACUGUAGUGGCGCACGGGUGAGUAACGCGUAACUGACCUACCCCAAAGUCGCGGAUAACGAUUCGAAAGAAUCGCUAAUACGUGAUGUGCUGUCAGAUUGUGUUCUGCCAGUAAAGAUUGAUUGCUUUGGGAUGGGGUUGCGUUCCAUCAGCUAGUUGGUGGGGUAAAGGCCCACCAAGGCGACGCCGGAUAGCCGGCCUGAGAGGGUGGCCGGCCACAGGGGAACUGAGACACGGGUCCCACUCCUACGGGAGGCAGCAGUUAGGAAUCUUCCACAAUGGGCGAAAGCCUGAUGGAGCGAUGCCGCGUGAGGGAUGAAGGUCUUCGGAUCGUAAACCUCUGAAUCAGGGACGAAAGACACUUCGGUGGGAUGACGGUACCUGAGUAAUAGCACCGGCUAACUCCGUGCCAGCCGCCGCCGUAAUAC
rnacentral:rRNA from 1 species